AUUGAACGCUGGCGGCAUGCUUUACACAUGCAAGUCGAACGGCAGCACGGGGGCAACCCUGGUGGCGAGUGGCGAACGGGUGAGUAAUGCAUCGGAACGUGCCCUGUCGUGGGGGAUAACACAUCGAAAGAUGUGCUAAUACCGCAUACGACCUGAGGGUGAAAGCGGGGGACCGUAAGGCCUCGCGCGAUAGGAGCGGCCGAUGUCUGAUUAGCUAGUUGGUGGGGUAAAGGCCUACCAAGGCGACGAUCAGUAGCUGGUCUGAGAGGACGGCCAGCCACACUGGGACUGAGACACGGCCCAGACUCCUACGGGAGGCAGCAGUGGGGAAUUUUGGACAAUGGGGGCAACCCUGAUCCAGCCAUGCCGCGUGCGGGAAGAAGGCCUUCGGGUUGUAAACCGCUUUUGGCAGGAACGAAACGGUGCGGGCGAAUACCCUGUGCUAAUGACGGUACCUGCAGAAUAAGCACCGGCUAACUACGUGCCAGCCGCCGCGGUAAGAC
rnacentral:rRNA from 1 species